rnacentral:rRNA from 1 species
GGGUCAGUAGGUUGGUCGUGCCACCGGUACGUACUGGUCUCACUUAUUCCUCCUUCCUGAAGAACCGUAAUGCCAUUAAUUUGGUGUUGCGGGGAAACAGGACUGUUACUUUGAAAAAAUUAGAGUGUUUAAAGCAAGCUAACGCUUGAAUACAUUAGCAUGGAAUAAUGAAAUAGGACGAUCGAUCCUAUUUUGUCGGUUUCUAGGAUUGACGUA